rnacentral:rRNA from 1 species
GUGCCCCUACGGGGGCAGCAGUAGGGAAUCUUCCACAAUGGGCGAAAGCCUGAUGGAGCAACGCCGCGUGGGUAAAGAAGGUCUUCGGAUCGUAAAACCCUGUUGUUAGAGAAGAAAGUGCGUGAGAGUAACUGUUCACAUUUCGACGGUAUCUAACCAGAAAGCCACGGCUAACUACGUGCCAGCAGCCGCGGUAAUACGUAGGUGGCAAGCGUUAUCCGGAUUUAUUGGGCGUAAAGGGAACGCAGGCGGUCUUUUAAGUCUGAUGUGAAAGCCUUCGGCUUAACCGGAGUAGUGCAUUGGAA